rnacentral:rRNA from 1 species
UACGUAGGGUGCGAGCGUUGUCCGGAAUUAUUGGGCGUAAAGGGCUCGUAGGCGGUCUGUCACGUCGGGAGUGAAAACACGGGGCUUAACCCGUGCCUGCUUCCGAUACGGGCAGACUAGAGGUAUGCAGGGGAGAACGGAAUUCCUGGUGUAGGCGGUGAAAUGCGCAGAUAUCAGGAGGAACACCGGUGGCGAAGGCGGUUCUCUGGGCAUUACCUGACGUGAGGAGCGAAAGUGUGGGGAGCGAACAGG